GCUCAGGAUGAACGCUAGCGGCGCGCUUAAUGCAUGCAAGUCGAGCGAUGAGGCCCUCUUCGGGGGGUACAUCAGCGGCAGACGGGUGAGUAACACGUAGGUGAUCUACCCCAGAGACGGGGAUAACGGGUGGAAACAUCCGCUAAUACCGGAUAGGCUUGUUCGGUCAAAGGGACAAGGAAAGGCUCCGGCGCUCUGGGAGGAGCCUGCGGCCCAUCAGCUAGUUGGCGGGGUAACGGCCCACCAAGGCAAAGACGGGUAGGGGGUGUGAGAGCAUGGCCCCCCACAAUGGGACUGGAACACGGCCCAUACUCCUACGGGAGGCAGCAGCAGGGAAUAUUGCACAAUGGACGGAGGUCUGAUGCAGCGACGCCGCGUGGAUGAAGAAGGCCCUCGGGUUGUAAAAUCCUUUACAGGGGGAAGAGGAAGGACGGUACCCCUGGAACAAGUGUCGGCUAACUACGUGCCAGCAGCCGCGGUAAGACGUAGGACACAAGCGUUAUCCGGAUUUACUGGGCGUAAAGCGUCUGCAGGCGGACAGGUAAGUUGGGCGUGAAAGCUCCGGGCCCAACCCGGAGAGGUCGUUCAAUACUGCGUGUCUAGAGGGUGUCAGAGGGGAGUGGAAUUUCCGGAGUAGCGGUAAAAUGCGCAGAGAUCGGAAAGAACACCAAUGGCGAAGGCAGCUCCCUGGGGCAACCCUGACGCUAAGAGACGAAAGCUAGGGGAGCGAACAGGAUUAGAGACCCUGGUAGUCCUAGCCCUAAACGAUGGAUGCUGGAUGUGGGGCCAUAGCGCUCCGUGUCGAAGCGAACG
rnacentral:rRNA from 1 species